ACGAACGCUGGCGGCAUGCCUAACACAUGCAAGUCGAACGAGACCUUCGGGUCUAGUGGCGCCCGGGUGCGUAACGCGUGGGAACCUGCCCUUAGGUUCGGAAUAACUCCCCGAAAGGGGUGCUAAUACCGGAUAAUGUCUUCGGACCAAAGAUUUAUCGCCUUUGGAUGGGCCCGCGUUGGAUUAGCUAGUUGGUAGGGUAAAAGCCUACCAAGGCGACGAUCCAUAGCUGGUCUGAGAGGAUGAUCAGCCACACUGGGACUGAGACACGGCCCAGACUCCUACGGGAGGCAGCAGUGGGGAAUAUUGGACAAUUGGCGAAAGCCUGAUCCAGCAAUGCCGCGUGAGUGAUGAAGGCCUUAGGGUUGUAAAGCUCUUUUACCCGGGAUGAUAAUGACAGUACCGGGAGAAUAAGCUCCGGCUAACUCCGUG
rnacentral:rRNA from 1 species